AGAAGCUUCCAGAAAUUUCCUUCCCGUUAACCCUUUCGGUGUCUGCCCACUCUCCCUCCCCGUGGGAUUAAGCGCGCAGGGUCUCCGGCAUCGUCAAUGGGCGAAGCCUCCUACGCCGAGCGAGCCCGAGUGCGAGCGUCUGAAGAGCCUGAGCUAUUUUGGGAUUUGUCUGUACUACACUGAAAAUGACACCUGUUACGCACAGACACAAAUGAGAAAAAUUACAAGUUCCUCUUCCAGGAUCCUACAAAAAAUGGGGUGAGAUCCCGUGGGUCAGGGCGGGGUGAGCAGCACAGGCUCUGCUGUGGGGUGAAGGGGAUGACCCCGAUGAACUGAGCAAAUAGCAGUACGAGAAAUGUAAAAAGUCUGUAGUAGCUGAUGCAAGGGGAAAUCAAGCCUCCAUGUGACCAGAAGAAGUAGUGCAUGAUCAACUAAAUGCCACAAUACAUGGUUUCUUAUGCAAUCGAGCCCAUGGGACUCCAGGCCUUACACAUCCACUUUGUGGCCAAAGCUGCAGGGAUUAACUCCUUCCUUAAUGACUGGGAUGGAGCUCAGGCUCCCGAAAUGAGUCAUCCCCCCGAAGCAGGCCGGGUUUUGCUGAGACACGGAGCUGCCUGUGCUGCUUUCAGUCCUCCCCGUUCUCCUGGGAGCCGAUUUUCCGCGUUCCCACUUUUCCCCGGUGGUUUGCGCCGCGCCGUGCGGGCAGCAGAGGCCACCUGGAGAUCCACGGAGCUCCAGAGCGAGAUGAAACGCUGGGAGCCUCAGAAAUGGGGCAGUUCACCGAUGCUUUCAGCUCACACCGCUUCUGUCAGGCCUGCGGUGCGUUAAGAAGGUGAAACCAACUUUGAUUUCUUUCAAAUGACUCUUUCUGGUUGCUUUCAGGGGAAAUGCAGCGUUUAUUUGAUGGUUUGCUUUCCUUUGAAAAUCACCAGCCCUGGAAUGUUUCUAUCUUUACCUGUCUCUAGGUGCUUGCUGGUGACACUCAGGCUCCCAAGAGCUCAGAGCUGUGCUGCUCUGGGGAACAAUCAACCCUGUAAGAAAUCUUGGGGCAAUGGAAAACUUCAGCCCUCAGAGCUGAGUGAAGAGGCCUAAAAACAUAAAGUCAUUUUCUGACACUCUUGGCCAGGAUUUGGCAUUUUCAGGUUCAAACAUCUGUGACAUUCCAUAUAUUUCCAUAUAAAAAUCUAGGCUGCUUUUGUGGUUUAACUGGAGCCCAUUUCCAUCUAUUGCCGCUGGUUUGGGUUUGUUGUUUUUUUUUAGUUUUUUUUUUCUUUUCCUCACAGAGUUUAA